AUUGAACGCUGGCGGCAUGCCUUACACAUGCAAGUCGAACGGAUCAGAGGAGCUUGCUCUUCUGGUUAGUGGCGAACGGGUGAGUAAUGCAUCGGAACGUACCCAGUAGUGGGGGAUAACGUAGCGAAAGUUACGCUAAUACCGCAUACGACCUGAGGGUGAAAGCAGGGGAUCGCAAGACCUUGCGCUAUUGGAGCGGCCGAUGUCGGAUUAGCUAGUUGGUAGGGUAAAAGCCUACCAAGGCGACGAUCCGUAGCUGGUCUGAGAGGACGACCGGCCACACUGGGACUGAGACACGGCGCAGACUCCUACGGGAGGCAGCAGUGGGGAAUUUUGGACAAUGGGGGAAACCCUGAUCCAGCCAUGCCGCGUGAGUGAAGAAGGCCUUCGGGUUGUAAAGCUCUUUCAGACGGAAGGAAAUCUUCCGGGCUAAUACCUCGGGAGGAUGACGGUACCGUAAGAAGAAGCACCGGCUAACUACGUGCCAGCAGCCGCCGUAA
rnacentral:rRNA from 1 species